GAAGAACUGGGUCAGGUAGCUUCAGGUUCUCUCUGCCAAGAAGAGACAACUUAAUGGAUGGACUUGGAGCUUAAUGCUCUCCUUCUGUUCUUCACUAAGGUGUUUUGAUUGUUCUUGGCCCUUGGAGGAGGAGGAAGGAGUCAUAAAAGUGACAUUGUAGAAGCUGUUACUGAGCAAGAAGCCACGAAGAUGUAGAUGAUGCCUACAUGUGGAUUCGUUGGCAAGAACAGAGCAAGUCAGAAAAUGCCCCUCCCUGGGGGGUGGGGGGCCUGACAUUUGAAGGUCAUGCAUGAGAAGGGGCUGUGUGCUACAUAGAAUGGCAGUGCCUGCUCCUGACGAUGCCAGCCGCACCAUCCCCAGAGCACAGAUCCAUUCUUCAGAGUGAACCCAGGGAGCUCCUCAGACAGACGCUUAGUGAAACCCCUCUUCAUCAUUGUAUUCAUGGGGACCUCCCGGAAACACAGCAAGCUCUGAAGAUCACGGUGAGGAUGAGGUCAGCCAAAGUCUACAUGGAGCUAGAAUUCUUCAGAUUUGCUGCUUAUGUCACCACAAUCCUGCUGCUCAAAGAGAUCUAAGCUACCAGAGCAGAAAGUCCCAGCCAUCCAUCCCAGGAAGCCCCUUUCUCGAGAUCUGGUCCACUGAACUUUUCUUCUCUCAUUACGAGCUGCCUGCCUGGGGAGUUUAAAGGCUUUGCCAGAGGGCUUCAUCUCAUAUGUCCUUUCUCAUUUCCUAGGGCAUAAAAAUGCUGGAUUGAAUUUACUAACAGUAAAUUCAUGUGUGUGUUCUCCUGGUUCAUUUUCACCCAGACAGAAAAAAAGAGCAACACCAAUAAAUUAAUUUAAUUUUUUCAUUAA
rnacentral:lncRNA from 1 species